rnacentral:rRNA from 1 species
AUGCAGGGCGGCAACCACAUGCUCCUCGAGGAGCCCGUCCGCCUCGCCUCCGUCCUCGCCCCCGCCAAGCCCAAAGUUUUCCCAUCCCUCACUAAGAUUGUUGGGACGCUUGGGCCCAACUCGCACUCAGUCGAAGUGAUUGAAGAAUGCCUCACUGCUGGGAUGUCAGUUGCGCGGUUUGAUUUCUCUUGGAAGGAUGCUACUUAUCAUCAGGAGACCCUUGACAAUCUGAGGAAAGCCGCACAGAAUGUGAAGAAGUUAUGUCCUAUAAUGCUGGAUACAGUGGGUCCAGAAAUUCAGGUUCACAAUUCAACUGGUGGAGCAAUCGAGUUGAUAGGGGGGAAUCAUGUCACAAUAACACCAGAUCUUUCUAAAGCUCCUUCGGCUGAUAUCCUACCAAUUAAAUUUGGCGAUCUUGCAAAAGUUGUGAAGAAGGGUGAUACUCUUUUCAUUGGUCAAUAUCUUUUCACAGGAAGUGAAACAACAUCUCUAUGGCUUGAAGUUACGGAGACUUCUGGUGCAGAAGUGAUUUGUUACGUGAAGAACACAGCUACACUGUCGGGGCCCAUUUUCACUCUACAUGUUUCACAAGUACAUAUCAGUAUGCCCACUUUGAGUGAAUAUGAUAAACAGGUCAUAUCAACAUGGGGGCUGCAAAACAGUGUUGACAUUAUAUCGCUUUCCCAUACCCGCUCUUCUGAGGAUGUCAGGGAGCUUAGAGCCUUUUUAAAAUCUCAUGAUCUUCAAGACACACAGAUAUAUGCGAAGGUUGAAAAUGCUGAGGGUUUGGAACAUUUUGAUGAAAUUCUCCAAGAGGCGGAUGGUAUCAUCAUAUCGCGAGGAGACCUGGGAAUUGACCUCCCACCAGAGAGAGUAAAUUUUGGUCUUCCUCAAAAUACCCAAUUUUUGCACCUUGUGUUCAUGUCCCAAAAGACUGGUAUUCAUAAAUGCAACAUGGCCGGCAAAUCUGUGAUCAUUACUAGAGUUGUGGACAGCAUGAUUGACAAUCUGCGCCCUACUCGCGCAGAAGCUACUGAUGUUGCAAAUGCUGUCCUAGAUGGAACUGAUGGCAUUUUGCUCGGUGCGGAGACACUUCGAGGGCAGUAUCCUGUUGACGCUGUGCGCACUGUGGGCAGAAUAUGUGCAGAAGCUGAGACCGUGUAUAACCAGUCACUUCACUUCAAGAAAGUAGUGAGGCAUGUAGGUGAACCAAUGGCCCAUGAAGAAUCUGUGGCAUCAUCAGCGGUUCGUUCUGCAAUGAAAGUAAAAGCUGCUGCAAUUGUUGUGUUCACCUUCUCGGGGAGAGCUGCUAGGUUAAUUGCUAAAUACAGGGCCCCAAUGCCAGUUUUAGCAGUUGUGUUCCCACGCGAGGGCUCUGAUCCAUCGAAGUGGCGUUCUUAUGGCACGACACAGGCGAGGCAAUGUUUUUCUGUGAGAGGUGUCUACCCUUUGAUGGGGAGUACUGACGAGGCUGAAACUGGUGGGCUCACCAAGGAAGAAUACGGGAUAAAACUUGCACUGAACUAUGGCCGGUCAGUCGGCAUAAUAAAGCCAUACGACAGGGUGAUUAUUUUUGAAAAGAUCGGUGAUUCUUCUGUUGUCAAGAUCAUCGAGUGCGACGAUUCUGAAAGAUGA